rnacentral:rRNA from 1 species
AUACGUAGGGUGCAAGCGUUGUCCGGAAUUACUGGGCGUAAAGAGUUCGUAGGCGGUUUGUCGCGUCGUUUGUGAAAACCAGCAGCUCAACUGCUGGCUUGCAGGCGAUACGGGCAGACUUGAGUACUGCAGGGGAGACUGGAAUUCCUGGUGUAGCGGUGAAAUGCGCAGAUAUCAGGAGGAACACCGGUGGCGAAGGCGGGUCUCUGGGCAGUAACUGACGCUGAGGAACGAAAGCGUGGGUAGCGGACAGGAUUAGAUACCCUGGUAGUCCACGCCGUAAACGGUGGGCGCUAGGUGUGGGUUCCUUCCACGGAAUCCGUGCCGUAGCUAACGCAUUAAGCGCCCCGCCUGGGGAGUACGGCCGCAAGGCUAAA